GCGGGUGUAGUUUAAUGGCAAAACCUCAGCCUUCCAAGCUGAUGUU
rnacentral:tRNA from 1 species